rnacentral:rRNA from 1 species
UACGUAGGGGGCUAGCGUUGUCCGGAUUUAUUGGGCGUAAAGGGCUCGUAGGCGGCCAACUAAGUCAGACGUGAAAUCCCUCAGCUUAACUGGGGAACUGCGUCUGAUACUGGAUGGCUUGGAUUCGGGAGAGGAAUGCGGAAUUCCAGGUGUAGCGGUGAAAUGCGUAGAUAUCUGGAGGAACACCGGUGGCGAAGGCGGCAUUCUGGACCGAUAUUGACGCUGAGGAGCGAAAGCCAGGGGAGCAAACGGG